UAAGAAAGAAACAAAUCUUACCAUUUGCAACAACAUGGAUGGAGCUAGAGGGUAUUAUGCUCAGUGAAAUAAGCCAGGUGGAGAAAGACAAGUGCCAAAUGAUUUCACUCAUAUGUGGAGUAUAAGAACAAAGCAAAACUGAAGGAACAAAACAGCAGCAGAAUCACAGAACCCAAGAAGGGACUAGUGGUUACCAAAGGGGAGGGGUGUGGGAGGGCAGGUGGGGAGGGAGGGAGAAGGGGAUUGUGGGGCACCAUGAUUGGUGCACAUGGUGUGUGUGGGUCACGGGGAAGACAGUGUAGCUCAUAGACAAACAGGGACUCUGUGGCAUCUCACUACACUGAUGGGCAGUGACUGCAAUGGGGUAUGGGGGGGGACUCGGCAAUAAGGGUGAAUGUAGUAACCACAUUGGUUUUCUUGUGAAACCUUUAUAAGAGUGUAUAUCAAUGAUACCUUAAUAAAAAAAAUUUUUUUUAAGACGAGGAGGAUGUGUUGGUGUCCAGGUGAGAGACUGAAACAGCAAGUUUCCCGUGGUACACAUCAAUGGGUGCUCUGGAAUCCUCCGCGAGGGAGGGGCCAGAGGAGAGGCUCGUGCAGGGAGCUCACGGGGGGUCAGGAAUGUGGCGCUCGGCUGACAGAGGCUGACAAGAGCGAGGACAUCAGGCAUGCUGUGUAAGCUGACAGGCACUGUACUCAGCCUGAGACAGGUGGUGGCCAGGGGACAACCCCUACCCCUGCUCUGACCAAGGACUGAGGCUCCAUCACCCAGCGGGGCCCCUCCAGAGCCUGAGAGCGCAGUGUGGUCGGGCCACCAUGUCCUCUCACACUGUCCACCUCCAGGGGGAGAGCACAGAAUGAAGGGAAUCCGGGACCACAGAUCAUCUGUCUCCUGGUGACAGUCAAGCUUUCAUAAAAGGUCUGGUGGGAGGAAGCUUCAACUAAUUCAGCUAAUCCCAACUAAUUCCAGCCUCCCUGAACCCCAGCUGUGCGCAAGGCCCGCGCUGGGCAGAACAGUACCAAGGUGAGCUCUGGCCUGGGGAGCACCUCUUCCAAGACUAUAGAGUCAUUAUGAAUAAAGAAACCAGAGCUCAAAGAGGAUGCCACAGCUGACCAACAACGAAGCACCGUGUUGGGAGCCUUCAAAACGGCAGGUGAACAUACUGCAGAUUUGGCUGGUGGACCCGUUGCUCAGGAGGCUGGGGUCUGGAGUCCUCCUCCAUGCAGAAAGGAACUAGAAAUAACCAACCCUGAAGAAAUGAGCCUCAUUAGAGGCCAGAUUCUGGUUUCUAAAUAUAUUUCUCACUAAAGGGAAUGAGGCCCCUUAGAGAAAUGGCUGAUUCCAGGUCUGGUGCAGCAGAUGUGCAUCUGGACCUUCUGCAAGCCAUUUGUCACAUUGGGAAAAAAAACAAGAGCCCCUGGACAACAGGACUCGGCAUCUGCCUCUGGCCCUCCGGAACCCCAAAGGAGAACCCCCAGCUCUCAGCGGUCAGUGACUAAAGGUCCAGUGGAAUUUCAGAAGGACAAAGUGAGCCUAUACGUAGAGUCCAUGUUAAAGUUAAGUCAGGAAUCCUCCUAUUUUUAAUUUCAGAUCUUCCACAGUAAAAAGUAAAACACAAAUUCAAGUCACAGGCUGACACCAUGGCAUUUUGAAAUUACAAACAUUUGCAAGUUUUCCCAGCAGAGGUUGCUUUAAAGAGUCGGAGUCAGUGCGUCUGCCUCUCCCGAGCGCCCAGGGAAGCUGAGAGGCAAAGCCAGCAGGGCCCACGGCCAGCAGGUGGGGGUGAGGCCUGGGAGAGGGGCCUCCCGCAGGGCUGUUUUCUAGGCAGAGCUGUGGUCUACAGAACAAGGUAACACCAAGAAAGCCUCAGGUCUGCAAGGUCUUGGAAAACUUACUCUGGUCAACUGAAGAUCUUGACAGUUCAGUCUAACCAACCCAAGAUAAUGCACCUCUUACAGGGUUAGAGAAAGAGGUAAAAUUCUGACAUAAGAUGGUGGAUUCAGGGAGUCUGAGAAUUUUGUAGGAUCUGGAGUUUAUAAGAAAAAUAGUGGGGAGACAGUAAAGAUGCCUAGGGCCCCAGGGCCAGCCAAUGUGACAGAUGUUUGAGUUAAGAAACCAGGGCUACUGAAAUGACAAACUUCAGAGACCCCCUAUCCACCUCCCAGAAAGCUGGAGCAGAAGAAAUGUUAUUGUCCGAGGAAACCCCCGAGAUAGGAUGGGUCCAAACACAAAAAGGGCACAGACAGCGCCCCCUGUCCUCACCCAUGGGUUAGACACCUUAGUGACAAGGUGCCAAGAAUCAGUUUGAGAUGGGUAGACAUGUCCCCUUCUCCCUCAGACCAGGGUUGACCCUCUCCCUGUUUGUUUUCUAAUGCCUGGGGCCGUGCCUCUAAGAAAGGCUUCUCAGAAACUCUUGCCCCCAAAGAGGGAGGAGAUACUGGUUUCUAGGGCUUAGGCCAACCACCCUUUCGAAAAGUGUUACUGCUCAGUUGGACACGGGUGAGGAGAAAACUCCCCUAGGGGUUCUGAGGUCUUAGAAAUCAGGCUGCUGUGUGUUAGUGUCUUCAGAGUGAAGUCUGGCAAAGGUUUGGUUAAAAAAUCAGGUUUAAGAUUUAUGAGAAGGGCCAUCUUGGACUCUCUGACUCUUACCCCUCCCUUGGGGCUCAAGCACGGGUCACAGGCCUGAUUGCAGCCCUUUAGGUAGAGGGUAUCAUUUCACAUGCUUAUCAGUCUGCUGGAUACGUGAGUCUUUUUCUGCCUUUAGCCUCUUGACCUGAGCUUCUAUUUAUACCUACAAAACUCAUCCUUUCAAAUGGAGGGUAACCCAAUAGCAGCUAUAUUUUCAUGCACUCCUGAAAUAUAAAAAUCCUAAAGACAUAAUAAUUACUUUUUGUAUUUUUUAAAUGUCACCUCUUCCUUUGGCAUUAAAUUAAUUUCCAAAAUAGAUCUCUUCCUUCUCCUUUCUCCUGACUGCCUUUUCUAGAGUUUUACUAAAUGUUUUUGCCAAUAGGUCUUUUUCUUAUAAGUCCUCACAUUUGUUCUAAUUAUAAACUAGCACACAUGGUGACAUAUAUUUCUUUCCUAGGCUAAAUUCCAGAAAGCAAUGACGAAGGACAGAGAGGUCCAUAAGGAAGCUGGAUUUAGUCUCGGGUACAGCAAAUUGCCUUUGCAGCUGCAUUUUUUAAAAAACUAAAAAGAAGUUUUACUCCUAGCUGGGCAGGUCCCAGUGGGUUCCCCUCUCCUGCUAACUUAUUAGCCUCUCUGGGGCCAGUAAUAUGUUCUAGGCAUCUUUGUACUCUCACCUCUAGUGCCCUGCACAUGGAGGUAUGCAAUGAAGGUUUAACUGAAUUAAAUUGCAUUUGACCAAGUGAGAAGUAACACCUAACAUCAUUUUAGAGAAAAGCAAAGAAAUAAACUGCAUUGUAUGGCACAGACAUGCUAGUGUCCUUGCUAUAGCUUACCAGUUAGCUAAUUCAAAAAUUGCAUAUAGUCAAAUGUCACAAUUUUACUUGAAAAAAAAAACAGACCACAAAACACCUCUUUCUAUCCUCAGAUAUGAAGAGCAAUAUAGAGCAGAAGGGAUCUCUCACAAGCCCAUCACCUGGCAAUAUGCCAAAUUAAUAACUGGUUAUAAACUCAGUCUUUUAAAAAUGUAUAAUAAAGACAUUUAAAACAAAAUGGUAUACUCUGAGCCCAUAGGAUAAAAUGGUCAGCCAUAGAUCUUGCUCUCUAGCCUGCUUUUUCACUCAGUAUAAUUUGUUGAGAACAUUUUCUCAUAUUA